rnacentral:rRNA from 1 species
AACGAACGCUGGCGGCAUGCCUAACACAUGCAAGUCGAACGAGACCUUCGGGUCUAGUUGCGCACGGGUGCGUAACGCGUGGGAACCUACCCUUAGGUUCGGAAUACCUCCCCGAAAGGGGUGCUAAUACCGGUUAAUGUCUUCGGACCAAAGAUUUCUGGCCUUUGGAUGGGCCCGCGUUGGAUUAGCUAGUUGGUAGGGUAAUAGCCUACCAAGGCGACGAUCCAUAGCUGGUCUGAGAGGAUGAUCUACAACGCUGGGACUGAGACACGGCCCAGACUCCGACGGAAGGCAGCAGUAGGGAAUAUUAGACGAUGAGCGAAAGCCUGGUCCAGCAAUGUCGCGGAAGUGAUGAAGGCCUUAGUGUUGUAAAGCUCUUUUAGCCGGGAUGAUAAUGACAGUACCGGGAGAAUAAGCACCGGCUAACUCCGUG